rnacentral:rRNA from 1 species
GUGAGGAAUAUUGGUCAAUGGGCGAGAGCCUGAACCAGCCAAGUCGCGUGAAGGAAGAAGGAUCUAUGGUUCGUAAACUUCUUUUGCAGGGGAAUAAAGUGCGGGACGUGUCCUGUUUUGUAUGUACCCUGAGAAUAAGGAUCGGCUAACUCCGUGCCAGCAGCCGCGGUAAUACGGAGGAUCCGAGCGUUAUCCGGAUUUAUUGGGUUUAAAGGGUGCGUAGGUGGUUUGAUAAGUCAGCGGUGAAAGUUUGUAGCUUAACUGUAAAAAUGCCGUUGAAACUGUCGGACUUGAGUGUAAAUGAGGUAGGCGGAAUGCGUGGUGUAGCGGUGAAAUGCAUAGAUAUCACGCAGAACUCCGAUUGCGAAGGCAGCUUACUAAGCUACAACUGACACUGAAGCACGAAAGCGUGGGGAUCAAACAGGAUUAGAAACCCGGGUAGUCC